GACGAACGCUGGCGGCGUGCUUAACACAUGCAAGUCGAACGGAAAGGCCCUGCUUGCCGGGUACUCGAGUGGCGAACGGGUGAGUAACACGUGGGUGAUCUGCCCUGCACUUCGGGAUAAGCCUGGGAAACUGGGUCUAAUACCGGAUAGGAGCCAUUUUUAGUGUGAUGGUUGGAAAGUUUUUUCGGUGUAGGAUGAGCUCGCGGCCUAUCAGCUUGUUGGUGGGGUAAUGGCCUACCAAGGCGGCGACGGGUAGCCGGCCUGAGAGGGUGGACGGCCACAUUGGGACUGAGAUACGGCCCAGACUCCUACGGGAGGCAUCAGUGGGGAAUAUUGCACAAUGGGCGCAAGCCUGAUGCAGCGACGCCGCGUGGGGGAUGACGGCCUUCGGGUUGUAAACUCCUUUCGCUAGGGACGAAGCUUUUUGUGACGGUACCUAGAUAAGAAGCACCGGCUAACUACGUG
rnacentral:rRNA from 1 species